GACGAUAAGCUGGUCUGACUGUUACCAAAGAUGACGUCCUGAUUGUUGAAUCAGAGUUUAAGACAUAAAGCUUACUUUAUCGUUUUCAAGGAUGGUUUCAGCAGCAUAGUGACGAUGUCAGGUCAGUGAUUUGUUUGUCAUUGCACGAAAAUAAGCAAAUAGUUGACUGACAAGAUUUUUCAUAUCUCAUCAAAGCCUGUAGAAGUGAAAAACAAAACUCGUGAUGUGUGAUGUCAAAAUGUCAAAUUUCGAGGUUGCCACAGAUAUGUCGGGUCUGCUCUCUCUUAGUUGUGUCGAAAAAAAAGGGGGGGCUAUCCUAUACAAAAACACUUACGAUUGUAGGAAGAGAACGCUCAAGAAAGGCGCCAGCAUAAAAUGACCCUAAAAUGCAUGUAGGAGACUCUCAAAAAAACAUCAAUCUCAAAUUUUUUGACAAAUAAUUGUAGCUCCCAAACUCCCGGAGAACGUUUUUGGCCCCGUCUCCACAAAAACCUGUACUGGGCCAGGAGUCUAAACAACCAAUCAUUCUAUCUCCCUAAAGAUAAUGGAAGAACAGAUUAUGAGAAGAGAAGUUUACACAGUUACAAAAGAAGGCAUUCGCUGAAGUUUCAUUAUAGCAGGAUUUCGGACCAUACGAUGAAGGCAAGAGAAAGGCAAAGACAAGACACUGGAGGCAAAAUUAAGAAGACUGGACACUUAACACAAGACAGAGUACACAAGGGACCUGAGUAAGAUACAAUUUAGCGAUUUUUUUUUUCAAGCCAAAAAAGUGGACGUAAGAAUCGGCAAAGUUUUUCUUGCAAUUAAUUUUGAGAACAGAAAGACGAAGGUUAUCUACAAAAAGGGACCGGCCCAAAAUAUGAUUUACAGCUAGGUUUUGUAAGGAAAUGAUUCAUCGGCUUUGCUCUACAAAUUUUCAUCAGUUUUUAUCUUUUUUGUCCUUGGUCACGCUGCGAGAGUUUGGUGGUUUGUGUGCCUGAC